GAUGGUCUCUGGCCAUCCGAGUUGUAAUCUAUAGAAGUGUUGCCUAUGCUGGACCAUGUACAAGUCUUCUGGAAUGAAGCAUCAUAGAGGGUGAGAAUCCCGUCUUUGACAUGGACUCCCCAGUAUAUUGUGGCAUGCUCUCAAAGAGUCGAGUUGUUUGGGAAUGCAGCUCUAAAUGGGUGGUAACCUCCAUCUAAAGCUAAAUAUUGGCGAGAGACCGAUAGUGAACAAGUACCGUGAGGGAAAGAUGAAAAGAACUUUGGAAAGAGAGUUAAACAGUACGUGAAAUUGUUGAAAGGGAAACGCUUGAAGUCAGUUGCAUUGGUCAGGGAUCAACCUAGCUAGUUUUGCUUGGUGUAUUUCCUGGUCAAUGGGCCAACAUCAGUUUUGGCUGCCAGAGAAGGGCAGAAGGAAUGUGGCACCUCCGGGUGUGUUAUAGCCUUUUGUCAUAUAUGGCGGUUAGGACUGAGGAAUGCAGCAUACCCUUUAUGGGCCGGGUCUUUGACCACGUUUUGUGCUUUGGAUGUUGGCAUAAUGGCUUUAAUCGACCCGUCUUGAAACACGGACCAAGGAGUCUAACAUGCCUGCGAGUGUUUGGGUGGAAAACCCAAGCGCAUAAUGAAAGUGAAAGUUGAGAUCCCUGUCAUGGGGAGCAUCGACGCCCGGACCAGAGCUUUUAGCAAUGGAUCUGCGGUAGAGCAUGUAUGUUGGGACCCGAAAGAUGGUGAACUAUGCCUGAAUAGGGCGAAGCCAGAGGAAACUCUGGUGGAGGCUCGUAGCGAUUCUGACGUGCAAA
rnacentral:rRNA from 1 species